rnacentral:rRNA from 1 species
GAUGAACGCUGGCGGCGUGCCUAAUACAUGCAAGUCGAGCGAACAGACGAGGAGCUUGCUCCUCUGACGUUAGCGGCGGACGGGUGAGUAACACGUGGAUAACCUACCUAUAAGACUGGGAUAACUUCGGGAAACCGGAGCUAAUACCGGAGAAUAUAUUGAACCGCAUGGUUCAAUAGUGAAAGACGGUUUUGCUGUCACUUAUAGAUGGAUCCGCGCCGCAUUAGCUAGUUGGUAAGGUAACGGCUUACUAAGGCAACGAGGCGUAGCCGACCUGAGAGGGUGAUAGCCCACACUGGAACGGAGACACGGUCCAGACUCCUACGGGAGGCAGCAGUAGGGAAUCGUCCGCAAUGGGCGAAAGCCUGACGGAGCAACGCCGCGUGAGUUAUGAAGGUCUUCGGAUCGUAAAACUCUGUUAUUAGGUAAGAACAAAUGUGUAAGUAACUAUGCACGUCUUGACGGUACCUAAUCAGAAAGCCACGGCUAACUACGUG